rnacentral:rRNA from 1 species
GAUGAACGCUGGCGGCGUGCCUAAUACAUGCAAGUCGAGCGAACGGACGAGAAGCUUGCUUUUCUGAUGUUAGCGGCGGACGGGUGAGUAACACGUGGAUAACCUACCUAUAAGACUGGGAUAACUUCGGGAAACCGGAGCUAAUACCGGAUAAUAUUUUGAACCGCAUGGUUCAAAAGUGAAAGACGGUCUUGCUGUCACUUAUAGAUGUAUCCGCGCUGCAUUAGCUAGUUGGUAAGGUAACGGCUUACCAAGGCAACGAUGCAUAGCCGACCUGAGAGGGUGAUCGGCCACACUAGAACUGAGACACGGUCCAGACUCCUACGGAAGGCAGCAGUAGGGAAUCUUCCGCAAUGGGCGAAAGCCUGACGGAGCAACGCCGCGUGAGUGAUGAAGGUCUUCGGAUCGUAAAACUCUGUUAUUAGGGAAGAACAUAUGUGUAAGUAACUGUGCACAUCUUGACGGUACCUAAUCAGAAAGCCACGGCUAGCUACGUG